GUCUCUUUGGCGCAAUAGGUUAGCGCGUUCGGCUGUUAACUGAAAGGUUGGUGGUUCAAGCCCACCCAGCGACG
rnacentral:tRNA from 2 species